GAUGAUAAAAGUUCGCUUACAAUGAAAAUUACCUUAUAGGCAUCUUUAUAGAAAUAUUAAACAGAA
rnacentral:tRNA from 1 species